GAUGAACGCUGGCGGCGUGCCUAAUACAUGCAAGUCGAGCGAACAGACGAGGAGCUUGCUCCUCUGACGUUAGCGGCGGACGGGUCAGUAACACGUGGAUAACCUACCUAUAAGACUGGGAUAACUUCGGGAAACCGGAGCUAAUACCGGAUAAUAUAUUGAACCGCAUGGUUCAAUAGUGAAAGACGGUUUUGCUGUCACUUAUAGAUGGAUCCGCGCCGCAUUAGCUAGUUGGUAAGGUAACGGCUUACCAAGGCAACGAUGCGUAGCCGACCUGAGAGGGUGAUCGGCCACACUGGAACUGAGACACGGUCCAGACGCCUACGGGAGGCAGCAGUAGGGAAUCUUCCGCAAUGGGCGAAAGCCUGACGGAGCAACGCCGCGUGAGUGAUGAAGGUCUUCGGAUCGCAAAACUCUGUUAUUAGGGAAGAACAAAUGUGUAAGUAACUAUGCACGUCUUGACGGCACCUAAUCAGAAAGCCACGGCUAACUACGUG
rnacentral:rRNA from 1 species